GGCUCAGGAUGAACGCUGGCGGCGUGCCUAAUACAUGCAAGUCGAGCGAACAGAUAAGGAGCUUGCUCCUUUGACGUUAGCGGCGGACGGGUGAGUAACACGUGGGUAACCUACCUAUAAGACUGGAAUAACUCCGGGAAACCGGGGCUAAUGCCGGAUAACAUGUUGAACCGCAUGGUUCUACAGUGAAAGACGGUCUUGCUGUCACUUAUAGAUGGACCCGCGCCGUAUUAGCUAGUUGGUGGGGUAACGGCCUACCAAGGCGACGAUACGUAGCCGACCUGAGAGGGUGAUCGGCCACACUGGAACUGAGACACGGUCCAGACUCCUACGGGAGGCAGCAGUAGGGAAUCUUCCGCAAUGGGCGAAAGCCUGACGGAGCAACGCCGCGUGAGUGAUGAAGGUCUUCGGAUCGUAAAGCUCUGUUGUUAGGGAAGAACAAAUGUGUAAGUAACUGUGCACAUCUGACGGUAC
rnacentral:rRNA from 1 species